AACCAGAAGGCGCAAUGAAAGUGAAGGCACGGUCGCCGUGCUGAGGUGAGAGCUGUCUCGGCAGCACAUCAUCGACCGAUCCCAUCCGCUCCCUCGUGGUGCGGCGGGAUUCGAGUAAGAGUGUACCUGUUGCGACCCGAAAGAUGGUGAACUAUGCCUGAAUAGGGUGAAGCCAGAGGAAACUCUGGUGGAGGCCCGUAGCGAUUCUGACGUGCAAAUCGAUCGUCAAAUUUGGGUAUAGGGGCGAAAGACUAAUCGAACCAUCUAGUAGCUGGUUCCCUCCGAAGUUUCCCUCAGGAUAGCUGUAGCCCGAAGCAGUUUUAUCAGGUAAAGCGAAUGAUUAGAGGUAUCGGGGAAGAAACUUCCUCGACCUAUUCUCAAACUUUAAAUAGGUAAGAAGUCCGACUUGCUCAAUUUGAAGCCGGACGCAGAAUGCUGGGUUACUAGUGGGCCAUUUUUGGUAAGCAGAACUGGCGAUGCGGGAUGAACCGAACGCCGAGUUAAGGUGCCAAAGUCGACGCUCAUCAGAUCCCACAAA
rnacentral:rRNA from 1 species